rnacentral:rRNA from 1 species
UACGGGGGGAGCAAGCGUUGUUCGGAUUUACUGGGCGUAAAGGGCGCGUAGGCGGUCGUGACAAGUCACUUGUGAAAUCCCCGGGCCUAACUCGGAACGGUCAAGUGAUACUGUCGGACUAGAGUACAGAAGGGGCAACUGGAAUUCUCGGUGUAGCGGUGAAAUGCGUAGAUAUCGAGAGGAACACCUGCGGCGAAGGCGGGUUGCUGGGCUGAUACUGACGCUGAGGCGCGAAAGCCAGGGGAGCGAACGGG